GAACGACCUUUAGUAAUAAUUUCAACGACGCUUAGGUUAUCACAAUAGAAAAGUAUACGUUUUCUAGGCCAAUUAGGCCUCCAAAGUACACAAGCCAUAACGAUUGGGUAAAGUUCGAAAAAUGCAAUAGAGGAUUCUUCUGUUAAUAUCAAAUCUUCCGGGAAAUUGCCUUGAAACCAAUGAUUUUGGUAAAAUCCGCCG
rnacentral:lncRNA from 1 species